GACGAACGCUGGCGGCGUGCUUAACACAUGCAAGUCGAACGGAAAGGCCUCUUUCGGGGGGUACUCGAGUGGCGAACGGGUGAGUAACACGUGAGUAACCUGCCCUUGACUUUGGGAUAACUUCAGGAAACUGGGGCUAAUACCGGAUAGGAGCUCCUGCUGCAUGGUGGGGGUUGGAAAGUUUCGGCGGUUGGGGAUGGACUCGCGGCUUAUCAGCUUGUUGGUGGGGUAGUGGCUUACCAAGGCUUUGACGGGUAGCCGGGCUGAGAGGGUGACCGGCCACAGUGGGACUGAGAUACGGCCCAGACUCCUACGGGAGGCAGCAGUGGGGAAUAUUGCACAAUGGGUGGAAGCCUGAUGCAGCAACGCCGUGUGCGGGAUGACGGCCUUCGGGUUGGAAACCGCUUUCGCUCAUGACGAAGCUUUGUGUGACGGUAGUGGGUAAAGAAGCACCGGCUAACUACGUG
rnacentral:rRNA from 1 species